rnacentral:rRNA from 1 species
UACGUAGGGUGCAAGCGUUAAUCGGAAUUACUGGGCGUAAAGCGUGCGCAGGCGGUUUUGUAAGUCUGUCGUGAAAGCCCCGGGCUCAACCUGGGAAUGGCGAUGGAGACUGCAAGGCUAGAGUGUGUCAGAGGGGGGUAGAAUUCCACGUGUGAGCAGUGAAAUGCGUAGAGAUGUGGAGGAACACCGAUGGCGAAGGCAGCCCCCUGGGAUAACACUGACGCUCAUGCACGAAAGCGUGGGGAGCAAACAGG